rnacentral:rRNA from 1 species
GACGAACGCUGACGGUGUGCUUUAGGCAUGCAAGUCGAACGAGAAAGCCCUUCGGGGUGAGUAGAGUGGCGAACGGGUGAGUAACACGUGGGCAACCUGCCCCUCGCAGGGGGAUAACCGGAGGAAACUCCGGCUAAUACCCCGUAAGCUUUCAGGAUCGCAUGGCCCUGAAAGGAAAGGUAGCUUCGGCCAUCCGGCGAGGGAUGGACCCGCGGUGCAUUAGCUAGUUGGUGGGGUAAAGGCCCACCAAGGCGACGAUGCGUAGCUGGUCUGAGAGGAUGAUGAGCCACACUGGGACUGAGACACGGCCCAGACUCCUACGGGAGGCAGCAGCCAGGAAUCUUGGGCAAUGGGCGCAAGCCUGACCCAGCAGCACCGUGUGGGCGAUGAAGGCCUUCGGGUCGUAAAGCCCUGUUGAUAGGGACGAAGGGCGAAGGGUUAAUAGCCCCUAGCCUGACGGUACCUUUCGAGGAAGCCCCGGCUAACUACGUGCCAGCAGCCGCCGUAAAAC